GCAUAUCAAUAAGCGGAGGAAAAGAAAAUAACAAUGAUUCCCCUAGUAUCUGCGAGUGAAGAGGGACAAGCUCAAAUUUUAAAUCUGUCGGGUUCUACCUGACCGAGUUGUAAUUUGAAGAGGCGUUUUCUGUGUUUCUAAUCAGUCCAAGUCCUUUGGGAUAAGACAUCACGGAGGGUGAGAAUCCCGUUCGGUUGAUCAGAUUCGCUUUAUGAUACGUCAUCAAAGAGUCAAGUUGUUUGGGAUUGCAGCUUAAAAUGGGAGGUAAAUUUCUCCUAAGGCUAAAUAACGGCGAGAGACCGAUAGCGAACAAGUACCGUGAGGGAAAGAUGAAAAGAACUUUGAAAAGAGAGUUAAAUAGUACGUGAAAUUGUUGAAAGGGAAACGAUUGAAGCCAGUCGUACCUGCGGGUAAUCAGCCUUUUGGGCAUGAUUCUGUGGAGCGUGAGGAGUUAAACGCCUUCAUGCCUGCAUAUUCGUGUACUUUGGGUGUACUUGCCUGUGUGGUUAGUUAACAUCAAUUUUGGUUAUCAUAAAAUGGCUGGAGGAAUGUAGCUUCGAUUUCGAUUGAAGUGUUAUAGCCUUCGGCAGAUGUGAUGAUCGGGAUUGAGGAUUGCAACGGAUACCCUUCGGGGCUACCUGUCUGAUCUCUGAUCGUUGCUCUGGUGCCGAAAGCGUGCUUACGGUUAUCAAAGUCGAUGGUUAAUAGGUUAGAACGGGUUAAAUUCGUUAAGGAUGUUGACGUA
rnacentral:rRNA from 1 species